rnacentral:tRNA from 1 species
UGGGAGAUCGUCUAAUGGCAGGACGUCGCGCUCUGAACGCGAAAAUCCAGGUUCGAGCCCUGGUCACCCAGCCA